GACGAACGCUGGCGGCAGGCUUAACACAUGCAAGUCGAACGCUCCGCAAGGAGAGUGGCAGACGGGUGAGUAACGCGUGGGAAUCUACCCAUCCCUACGGAACAACUCCGGGAAACUGGAGCUAAUACCGUAUACGCCCUUCGGGGGAAAGAUUUAUCGGGGAUGGAUGAGCCCGCGUUGGAUUAGCUAGUUGGUGGGGUAAAGGCCUACCAAGGCGACGACCCAUAGCUGGUCUGAGAGGAUGAUCAGCCACAUUGGGACUGAGACACGGCCCAAACUCCUACGGGAGGCAGCAGUGGGGAAUAUUGGACAAUGGGCGCAAGCCUGAUCCAGCCAUGCCGCGUGAGUGAUGAAGGUCUUAGGAUUGUAAAGCUCUUUCACCGGGGAAGAUAAUGACGGUACCCGGAGAAGAAGCCUCGGCUAACUUCGUGCCAGCCGCCGCAGUAA
rnacentral:rRNA from 1 species